UCUUUCCUUUAUAGUGUUGGGCGGAUUUUAUUAGACAAGUCUGACUCGAAUACCCUAAGCCCAGUAGUUCCUACGAUCCUAAUUCUCUCCGGUGGAGGGUAUUUGUUUCGUGGAAGAUGAAAAUGGUGAACGGGAAUAGUGGCUGGUGCGUCUUCUGUUCGGGUAAUGACGUUUUCUUCUCACUGUUGUAUGGGUUAGGUUGAUAGUACUUGAAGUGUGUAAGUGUAGUGGGUAGAAUUUUGCAGGAAGCGUGUUGAAUUUGAAUGGGGUAGUCGAGUUAGCCAUAUUGUGGAUGAUGAGAAGCGUGUUGUAUUUGAUGAUGAGUGAUGCAGAAUUUCAUCAUAAUGACAUGUCUUUGUGUAGUCGAUUUCGUCGUGUUAGGUGUCAGGGGAAUGGAUUAGGGUUAGUUUGUUGGACGAGAUUGUGGAAGUACUGAAUAUCUGCGUGAUAUUGAGAGCAAGAGCAGAAAGAGUUAUUGUUUGAGGAUAUUUUAUGAUGAUCAGUGAUGCAGAGUGACGAAAUUUUGGUCAAUCGAUCCUGGGUUAGGUGAAAGUGAGUUGGAUUAGGGUUAGGUUUUCAAGGAGAUUGGGGAAGUGGUGACUAUCUGUUGGCAGGAAGGAUAUCAAAUUGAGAGAGAGUUCCUAUUUGUGCUCCUGCUGAAGUUUCCUUAGAUGUCAGGUCAUAUCAAGAGGGUUGGUAUCCAUUUUCAUCCAGGCUGUAUGUAUGUUUUGUUCAUAUAUUUAAAUUUAAAUAUCAAUUGUGACUGGUUUUCCUCUACAAUUGUCUAUAAAUACAACCAUUGUUUGUUGUCUAUUUGCCUUUGCUUAUCCAUUCCUCUGUUUGCUUCUUGUCCUUUUGUCUGAGAAUUAAUUUCCAGCUCAAUCUUAGUGAUGGCUUACACCGCCGGUGCUAACAAUCCUCUGCAAAGUUUAAUCCCUCGAAGAGAAACCUAGAAAGUCAAGCCAUCUCAAGUGUUGAUCUUCAAGUCAGUUUCUUCUGAAAACCAUGAUCAAAUUUGGUGUUAGAUUCCUUCUCUUGAAGGUAAGAACUUAGAGUAGUAACCAGCUCAAAUUCAUUGAAGUAUAAAAUCUUAGGCCUAUCUUCUUGCUUUGUCUUUGCAAGCUGCAUAUAAGGUUCUAUUUCUGAUGCCUAGAAAUACUAUACCCAAAUUGGAGCUUUCAUCUCCACCCAAAUCAAAUAUCCUUCAUUCCAAUCACCAUACCACAUGAUGGCCUACUUGUUGUCUCUGAAACAACUGUAGACUUUUCUUCCUCAGUGCAUUCCCUUCUUUUGGGAUCGAUUUCGCCUCAUGCAGGGAACUGUAUCUCGGUAUUGUACCUUUUUUUUCCUUUUCAAAAAUAGUUGUGGAAGUUCCUUUCAGACAUAUUAGUGGAUUAGCAUGGAUAUGUGAUAUAGAAAAUAAAUAGUGGAAGUAUGCUGAAAAAGAAUGGUUGUAUCAAAACUGAAGGAUUAUAAGAUCAUGGUUAUUGUGUCAAUAUUUUUUGUCCCUUUUUGCAGAUAUGGUAUGAUUGAUACAAGAGAUUGUGAUGGUUAUGUUAGUAGAUUAUCAAUUGUUUUCAUUGUAUACGUUGUCAUCUAAUGUAGUGGACUGCGUUUGGUUUCUUUGUGCUGCUAUCCAUGAUUAAUUAAUAUGGUUUCCCAUAUUCACAAUGUGAUUUGUUUAGUAUUAAACAAUUGGCAUGCCUUGCAGCUUAAACAUGACAACUCGUGCAUUUUUUAAGGUUGAUAUUUAAAUGAAUCACUUUUCUUUUUCCCUUUCACAGAAGAAAGGACACAACCACAAGUCACUAAAAGUUGUGAAGGUUCAGUGGAAAAAACCUUUCCUUUGUACUGUAGGCCAGUUACAGGGGGCAUGAACAAAAACUCUGUCUCCAGUAUCUUAAGGCCUAUGUAUCACUCUUUCCAGCAUCAAGUAAUUGUAUUUCAACUGCAGCAUCAUCAGUAUCUUUAGUGAUAGGGAGUGCAUCUCAUGUAUGCUAGACUGGAUGGUAUGUUAUGUGCGUUUCCAGAUGUGGUAAUAGUAACCAAAAUAAAAUUAACCAGUGUUCCCAAGUUACACUAUGGUGGUCACUGAAAUUCUUAUUGUUUAAGAUUAAAAGAAAGUGAUUUUACAAUUGUGUGAAGAAAAAAAAGAUUUUUUAAGUUUUAAGAGCUUUUAUGUGAAGUAGAAAAUAGGAGGUUGUUAGAUGUUCACAAUGACAUUGAACUUAUAGUCUCAUUUGUACGCUCUCUUAAGUUAUAUUUGGUGACUCUGAAAUUUUCCAAUCAUAGUCAAACUUGGAAUUUUAGUUUGUUGUUAUUCUUAUUUGGCCAACAUAUGUGUUUUAAUAGAUGCUAAAUUGGUAAUCCCUGCAGUUAUUUGUCUAAAGGUGUCUGAUUUAUAUAUACAAGUGUAAGAGUGCAUACAAUGUUGUGGAUUUGUGGUCAUGUAUCAUAUAGCAUUUUGUCAUGUAUCAUAUAUUAAUCUAAGUCCAUGCAAUGUUAUGUCAUAUAUCACAUGACUUCGUUCAUUAAUGAUGUUGGUAUCUAUAGUAUCUUCAUCUUUGUCUCAUAAUGUGCAGGAUGUUUGCAAGUUGGUUGAGUAUUGUUUUGUUUAGUGUAGCCUUGUGGUUUCAGUAGGUUGGGGAAAUCUUUAUCUUCAUAGCAAACUUUGAUCAAAGAUCGAAGUAAAAGUAAUUAUCUUGUAUAUCCGUACACCGGCAACGGGCGAGGCAUAGAUCAUGUCAAGCUAAACAGAAGAGUUGAUGACUCCAUGUCUUGGUCUUAAAGGAGAGACGCUCACUGAUCCUUUACAUGGACCUGCUUCAUUUCAUCAUUUGGAAAAUCAUUUUACUCUCUAGGCUAUGUGCCCCUUUCCCAUCAUUUUUUUUUCACUCCUUAGGUGUUCAGUGUCCUUCUCUUUUUUCUCUAAGUUUUCUUUUCCUUGUACAACUUUCUUUUGGGCAAUCCUUAUACCUAGACAUUUGAAUUUCAAAUUGUUUUUCCUCUUCUAUGUAACCUCAUCUCUCAUUUCUUUGUCACAUGGCAAACUGAAACCAUGCGAUUAGAAGAUUAUUAUUAAGAAAUAUUGAAAAUUUUCUUUGGCUGGAU